AUGGCACAGAGCACUCAUCCUGCCCCGUGUUACGUCUGUCGUCAGGAGCAGGAUGUGUUUGAAUCUGCCCAUAAAACCUUGGCAGUGAGAGCCAUUGCAUCUCCCUCCCCUCCAGAGGCUCAUUUUUCUUCUUAGAGUGAGUGGAAUUCAGACCCAGCUGAGGUGCCACUUCUCAGCAGUAUAUAAUAUGGAUAAUUAAAGAGCAGAAAAUAUAUAAUAUGGAUAAUUAAAGAGCAGAAAUGAUUAGCA
rnacentral:lncRNA from 1 species